AGAGUUUGAUCCUGGCUCAGGAUGAACGCCGGCGGUGUGCCUAAUACAUGCAAGUCGUACGCACUGGCCCAACUGAUUGAUGGUGCUUGCACCUGAUUGACGAUGGAUCACCAGUGAGUGGCGGACGGGUGAGUAACACGUAGGUAACCUGCCCCGGAGCGGGGGAUAACAUUUGGAAACAGAUGCUAAUACCGCAUAACAACAAAAGCCACAUGGCUUUUGUUUGAAAGAUGGCUUUGGCUAUCACUCUGGGAUGGACCUGCGGUGCAUUAGCUAGUUGGUAAGGUAACGGCUUACCAAGGCGAUGAUGCAUAGCCGAGUUGAGAGACUGAUCGGCCACAAUGGAACUGAGACACGGUCCAUACUCCUACGGGAGGCAGCAGUAGGGAAUCUUCCACAAUGGGCGCAAGCCUGAUGGAGCAACACCGCGUGAGUGAAGAAGGGUUUCGGCUCGUAAAGCUCUGUUGUUGGAGAAGAACGUGCGUGAGAGUAACUGUUCACGCAGUGACGGUAUCCAACCAGAAAGUCACGGCUAACUACGUGCCAGCAGCCGCGGUAAUACGUAGGUGGCAAGCGUUGUCCGGAUUUAUUGGGCGUAAAGCGAGUGCAGGCGGUUCAAUAAGUCUGAUGUGAAAGCCUUCGGCUCAACCGGAGAAUUGCAUCAGAAACUGUUGAACUUGAGUGCAGAAGAGGAGAGUGGAACUCCAUGUGUAGCGGUGGAAUGCGUAGAUAUAUGGAAGAACACCAGUGGCGAAGGCGGCUCUCUGGUCUGCAACUGACGCUGAGGCUCGAAAGCAUGGGUAGCGAACAGGAUUAGAUACCCUGGUAGUCCAUGCCGUAAACGAUGAGUGCUAAGUGUUGGGAGGUUUCCGCCUCUCAGUGCUGCAGCUAACGCAUUAAGCACUCCGCCUGGGGAGUACGACCGCAAGGUUGAAACUCAAAGGAAUUGACGGGGGCCCGCACAAGCGGUGGAGCAUGUGGUUUAAUUCGAAGCAACGCGAAGAACCUUACCAGGUCUUGACAUCCAGUGCAAACCUAAGAGAUUAGGUGUUCCCUUCGGGGACGCUGAGACAGGUGGUGCAUGGCUGUCGUCAGCUCGUGUCGUGAGAUGUUGGGUUAAGUCCCGCAACGAGCGCAACCC
rnacentral:rRNA from 1 species